rnacentral:rRNA from 1 species
UAGGGAAUAUUAGAAAUGGACGAAAGUCUGAUCUAGCAACACCGCGUGUACGAAGAAGGCCUUCGGGUUGUAAAGCACUUUUUGAGAGGAUGAGGAAGGACGGUACUCUCAGAAUAAGUCUCGGCUAACUACGUGCCAGCAGCCGCGGUAACACGUAGGAGGCAAACGUUAUCCGGAUUUACUGGGCGUAAAGCGCGUGUAGGUGGUUUGGUAAGUAGAGCGUGAAAGCUCCUGGCUCAACUGGGAGAGGUCGUUCUAAACUGCCGGACUAGAGGAUGGUAGAGGGAGGUGGAAUUCCGGGUGUAGCUGUGGAAUGCGCAGAUAUCCGGAGGAACACCAGUGGCGAAAGCGGCCUCCUGGACCAUUCCUGACACUCAGACGCGAAAGCUAGGGUAGCAAACG